CCUACGGGAGGCAGCAGUGAGGAAUAUUGGUCAAUGGACGCAAGCCUGAACCAGCCAAGUAGCGUGCAGGAUGACUGCCCUACGGGUUGUAAACUGCUUUUAUAAGGGAAUAAACUGAGGCACGUGUGCCUUUUUGUAUGUACUUUAUGAAUAAGGAUCGGCUAACUCCGUGCCAACAGCCGCGGUAAUACGGAGGAUCCGAGCGUUAUCCGGAUUUAUUGGGUUUAAAGGGAGCGUAGAUGGGUUGUUAAGUCAGUUGUGAAAUUUUGCGGCUCAACCGUAAAAUUGCAGUUGAAACUGGCAGGCUGGAGUGCAGUAGAGGUGGGCGGAAUGUGUGGUGUAGCGGUGAAAUGCUUAGAUAUCACGAAGAACGCCGAUUGCGAAGGCAGUUUACCGGACUGUAACUGACACUGAGGCUCGAAAGUGUGGGUAUCAAACAGGAUUAGAUACCCGGGUAGUC
rnacentral:rRNA from 1 species